UUGCUCUCUUGUGCUCUGGCUCCUAAAGAUGUAAGCAAUAAAGCGCUUGCACUCUUGCUCUCUUGCUCUCUUGCACUCUUGCUCUUGCUCUCUUGCUCUCUGGCUCCUAAAGAUGUAAGCAAUAAAGCUCUUGCUCUUGCACUCUUGCACUCUUGCUCUCUUGCUCUCUGGCUCCUGAAGAUGUAAGCAAUAAAGCUUUUGCCGCAGAAGAUUCCGGUUUGUUGCGUCUUUCCUGGCCGGUCGCGAACGCGUGUAAGAGAUUGAAGCAGAGCAAAUGUUAACUACUUGAGUCUGGACUUCACUUGACGGGACUGGGAAACUAAGGGAUAAUUUGAAGCUGGUGAAAGUUAUGAAAAUUAUUUUCUGGCUUGAAGACCUCCCUGAGGGUUGGGUUCGGCAGGUAAAACUUGCUGGGCAAGCCCGAUGACCUCGAUCUGAUCUCUGUAACCGGUGGAAAAGCCAGAUGCCGCGGUACAUAUCUGUAAUGGCAGCACUCUUACGGUGAGAUGCAAGGCGAAGACAAAGAAUAAUCUGGAAGGAGUGAGUGGGCCAGCUUGCCUGUGUACCCAAGAGGGCAGAAACACGAGAAGCUGUGGCUCAGUGAGGUGAAGGGAACAUCAUGGUGAGGUUAAAGCCUGGUGGGGAGGAGAUAUGCUGAGAAUAGUUUU
rnacentral:lncRNA from 1 species